GAUGAAGAACGUAGCGAAAUGCGAUAAGUAGUGUGAAUUGCAGAAUUCAGUGAAUCAUCGAAUCUUUGAACGCACAUUGCGCCGCUUGGUAAUCCAUGGGGCAUGCCUGUUCGAGCGUCAUUUGUACCUUCAAGCUUUGCUUGGUGUUGGGUGUUUGUCUCGCCUUUGCGUGUAGACUCGCCUUAAAAUAAUUGGCAGCCGGCGUAUUGAUUUCGGAGCGCAGUACAUCUCGCGCUUUGCACUCAUAACGACAGCGUCCAAAAGUACAUUUUACACUCUUGACCUCGGAUCAGGUAGGGAUACCCGCUGAACUUAAGCAUAUCAAUAAGCGGAGGA
rnacentral:misc_RNA from 1 species